CUCUUCCUUUCUCUUUCGAAGUUGCAGCCUCUCUCUCAAAGAUGGAAUCCGCCGCCGCCGGAAGAGGACCUUUACGGUUCCGCCCGAAGGUAGCACUGUCAAGGCCGCCGGAAUCUCUUCGGAAAUAACACCCGCUGAUACCGACCACACGUCCAAAAUCUCCAAAUCUUUGACAUCAAAAAGUAUUUUGAAGACAACUAGGACAUUGUGGAUCACUUUGAGAAGGUGAUACCCUAACCAUUGUCAAGACAUUUGUUACCGCUAUUACAGUCCCGGAGACCGUACUUAUUCUCCCAUGUAAUUCCGGAGUGAAAUGCUUGAUGAGUACUCGACAUAGAAAACAUCAAGUGGACUUGCAAGGUUGUACAAUUUUUUUUUUUGAAAUGUUUGUUCUUUUGGGAAUUAAAUUACUUUAGUUGCUGAUAUAAUUCAUAUAUAUCAUUAGAAACACAUUGCAGUUGGUUGACCGCCUCUGAUUGCUUCAUCUGUUAUUUUGCACUCGAUGAGCUUAGUUAUUCAUAGUUGUAUUUGUUAGUCGACCUUAGGAUUGUACUGCAGUUUGAUACCAUAUUUAUUUAU